AUGAAUUUCUAUUAAAAUAAUGGCAAUUUAGGAACUAUACAGAGAAGAUUAGCAUGAACCCUGCUCAAGGAUGACACGAAAAUCUGUGAAGUUUUUCAUAUUUUU